ACAUGCAAGUCGAGCGAGGUAGCAAUACCUAGCGGCAGACGGGUGAGUAACAUGUGGGAAUCUGCCUUUUGGUUCGGAACAACACGGGGAAACCUGUGCUAAUACCGGAUAAGUCCUAACGGAGAAAGUUUUAAUGCCAAAAGAUGAGCCCGCAUUUGAUUAGCUAGUUGGUAAGGUAAAAGCUUACCAAGGCGACAAUCAAUAGCUGAUUUGAGAGGAUGAUCAGCCACACUGGGACUGAGAUACGGCCCAGACUCCUACGGGAGGCAGCAGUGGGGAAUCUUGCACAAUGGGCGAAAGCCUGAUGCAGCGAUGCCGCGUAAGUGAAGAAGGCCUUUGGGUUGUAAAGCUCUUUUGUCGGGAAAGAUAAUGACUGUACCCGAAGAAUAAGGUCCGGCUAACUUCGUGCCAGCAGCCGCGGUAAUACGAAGGGACCUAGCGUAGUUCGGGAUUACUGGGCGUAAAGGUAUGUAGGCGGCUAGAUAAGUUAAUUGUGAAAGCCCAAAGCUUAACUUUGGAAUUGCAAUUAAAACUAUUUAGCUGGAGUAUGAUAGAGGAAAGCGGAAUACAUAGUGUAGAGGUGAAAUUCGUAGAUAUUAUGUAGAACACCAGUUGCGAAGGCGGCUUUCUGGAUCAUUACUGACGCUGAGAUACGA
rnacentral:rRNA from 1 species